rnacentral:rRNA from 1 species
UACGUAGGGGGCAAGCGUUAUCCGGAAUUACUGGGUGUAAAGGGUGAGUAGGCGGCAUGGUAAGCCAGAUGUGAAAGCCUUGGGCUUAACCCGAGGAUUGCAUUUGGAACUAUCAAGCUAGAGUACAGGAGAGGAAAGCGGAAUUCCUAGUGUAGCGGUGAAAUGCGUAGAUAUUAGGAGGAACACCAGUGGCGAAGGCGGCUUACUGGACAGUAACUGACGUUGAGGCUCGAAAGCGUGGGGAGCAAACAGG